CGCACAGCCGCUUUAAUCUGCCUGCUCUCGGAGAGCUUACAGCAGAGCGCCAUCACGUCGUCUACUUGAUGAAUCAUUGUAUCGUGUUCAAACACUGCCUGAGGAGGGGAAACAUGAAACAAACGAGCUGCUGACUGCUCCCAGAUUUUCUGCGAGUGACUCCCACUUCCGCUCCCUGUGCAGCUGGCCCUUUAACUGCUGCUAUGCUUAUAAUAUUUUGCAUAAUGUUUUUCAUUUAUUUCGGAGCAUCACCUAAAUGUAAUGUAACUGUGCUGAGAAACUGUCAAACAACCUGUACGUAAAGUGUAUAUGCAGUACAUUUUCCCAGUAGGCCCACCUGUUUGGACAAAACAGAAAAUGCGUCCUGACAGAAAUCACUGGCUUGCCCUUUCUAGUACUGGGUUGGACCCUCUUUAAUUCUGCUUUAACUCUUUGUGGUAUCAGUUCGACAAGGUGCUGGAGACAUAUGCAUCAGAGAUUUCUGUCCAUAAUGAGAAGAUAGCAUGUUCCUGCACAUCCAUGACGCAAAUCUCCCAUUCCUCCAUCACCUCGGCUUGGGAUCUAGUGACCAUGGCAUGGAGGCCAUGAUAGUGAACUCAGAAUCAUGUUGGACAUGGACAGCUUUGUGACAUGGCACAUUAUUUUUCAAAUUGUAGCCUGGGUUUCCUGUUCAGCUGACAGGAGUGCCAAUCGGUGUGGUAUUCUGCAGCUUUACCCCAUCUACUUCAAGUUUGAGCAUUCAGAGAUAUUCUUCUGCAUACCUGAUCAUACACAAUAUGUACUAAUUAACAACUUAAAUUCUGAAGCGAUUAGGCUAACCACCGGGGUUCCUCAGGGCUCCGUAUUUGGGCCCCUCUUAUUUAGCCUUUAUAUCAAUGACUUGCCUAAUGCCUGGUCAGUGAGGGGUGCUACUGAAUGGAAUUUUAUACCUGAGGAAGUAAGACAGCUCAACACUUACAGGGCCUUUACAAAAAAAAAAAAUAAUAAUAAUAAAAAAAAUAAAAAAAAAAUUGGCUCAUUAACAAUUAUGUCUGCCAACAUUAAAAGCCGAGCCUAUUGAGCUGUAUUAUAUAUUUGAUAUACUAUAGCCUUUUUGAAAAUGUGUUUUUUGUGUGUAUUAUUAUUGUAACGGGUACAGUGUACCUUAAGUUAUUUUACAGUGUCAUUUAUAUUGUAGUUAUACUGUAGUCCAUUUGCCAUAGACUUGUAAAUGUAUUUUGUUGUUCGUAUUUUAAUACAUUUUUUACAUCUUGGCCAGGGGACUACAGAUGAAAAAUAGCCUUUUGGCUAAUUCUGGCUUUUUUUAACCAUGUUUGUUCAUGUGUUUUAUGAAAUUGCACUGUCCCCUUUUAAAUAAACCAUUAAAUCAAAUCAAAUCAAA